rnacentral:rRNA from 1 species
UACGUAGGGGGCAAGCGUUAUCCGGAAUUACUGGGUGUGAAGGGAGCGUAGACGGUAAUGUAAGUCUGGAGUGAAAGGCGGGGGCCCAACCCCCGGACUGCUCUGGAAACUAUGUUACUUGAGUGCAGGAGAGGUAAGCGGAAUUCCUAGUGUAGCGGUGAAAUGCGUAGAUAUUAGGAGGAACACCAGUGGCGAAGGCGGCCUGCUGGACAGAAACUGACGUUGAGGCUCGAAAGCGUGGGGAGCAAACAGG